CCGCUGACAAUUUCCAUACUGCUUCCCAGGCCAGGGAGCAGAGGGGAAUCAGAAAAGAUAUUAAGGUUUUGAUGAGGCAGUGAAGAUUUGCAGAAUCAAGACCUAAGAUGGGAGCCCUUUUUGAAAGAGACAUUAACUUCAUUCACUGAAGAUACUGAAACAAAAACAGAAAUUCCACCCUGGACACGAGAAGCCUUCCAGAAAAAGUUUAACCAGAACUGUCCCUUUUGAGCAAGAGAAAAGGAAGUAAAAACCAUGAAGACUACAGUAGGUGUUGGUAGUUUUUCUGCUCAAGCUGUAGGAGACUAGCCUAACCAGAGGCUUUGCCUAGUGGACUUCAAGUUGAGACCUCUGAACCAGGGCUCUGAGGUGCAACCGCUGCUGGAAUUCUGUAUUCAGUUCUGGUGUCCACAAUUCAAGAGGAGUGCUGAGAAACUGGAGAGGGUUCAGA